ACAAAUAGAGACAUCACUGCUAUAAAUGCUUUGGAGAGCACUGAUGCUGUUAUCUUAUUCUCUUCCUUAAUGUUUCUAGUUCAAGUUUGAAGGCAAAGGAUGGUCAAAGAAGUCUCUGCUGAGAUACCAAAGAAUAGGAAAGCACACAGGAUGAGGUUAAGUUUCAUGCCAAUGCUUGAUGUUCUUCUUAUUUCUUCAGUUCUGCAAUUUGAAUUCAUGGAAGGUGCCUCAUGAGAUUUCUCAUUGGAAAUGCAUCCCUGAUCAUCGUUACAGAAGACUCUGAGUUGCUACCGGUACUUGCGAGCUAAGCAAGAUUGCUGUGGUGCCGAGUGGAGAGAAGAAGCUUCAGGAGUGCGUGAGUGAGUGACAUGGAUGCCAAACGCAAGAUGAUUCGAUCACAGGGGAGUAGCUGGAAUGCUUUUGUCUCAAGCUAUUUCAGUGCCAAAUCAUUUCUGAUGCUUUUAUCGGUCAUGGCGUCGUUGAUUUUUCUUCCUCUUGUUCUACCUCCAAUGCCUCCACCUCCAUUGUCGUUGCUGUUAGUUCCUAUAGGUAUAUUUCUUGUACUACUGAUCUUGGCUUUCAUGCCACCCUCUGGUGUCCAAAGCAUCACCUCCUCUUGCUUAUGAAAAGUCAGAACCGAGUUUUGUUUCAGCUUCAAAUGACUUUAUGAUCGGAUAGCAAUUUCUUUCA